rnacentral:rRNA from 1 species
GUGGGGAAUUUUGGACAAUGGGGGCAACCCUUAUCCAGCCAUGCCGCGUGCGGGAAGAAGGCCUUCGGGUUGUAAACCGCUUUUGUCAGGGAAGAAAUCCUUUGGGUUAAUACCUCGGAGGGAUGACGGUACCUGAAGAAUAAGCACCGGCUAACUACGUGCCAGCAGCCGCGGUAAUACGUAGGGUGCGAGCGUUAAUCGGAAUUACUGGGCGUAAAGCGUGCGCAGGCGGUUUUGUAAGAUCGAUGUGAAAUCACCGGGCUCAACCUGGGAACUGCAUUGGUGACUGCAAGGCUGGAGUGCGGCAGAGGGGGAUGGAAUUCCGCGUGUAGCAGUGAAAUGCGUAGAUAUGCGGAGGAACACCGAUGGCGAAGGCAAUCCCCUGGGCCUGCACUGACGCUCAUGCACGAAAGCGUGGGGAGCAAACAGGAUUAGAUACCCGUGUAGUCC